rnacentral:rRNA from 1 species
GACGAACGCUGGCGGCGUGCUUAACACAUGCAAGUCGAACGGAAAGGCCCUGCUUUUGUGGGGUUCUCGAGUGGCGAACGGGUGAGUAACACGUGAGUAACCUGCCCUUGACUGUGGGAGAACUUCAGGAAACUGGGGCUAAUACCGGAGAGGAGAUCCUGCUGCAUGGGGUUGGUUGGAAAGUUUUGGCGUUUGUGGCUGGACUCGCGGCUUAUCAGCUGGUUGGUGUGGUAGUUGCUUACCAAGGCUUUGACGGGUAGCCGGCAUGAGAGGGUGAACGGGCACCUUGGGACUGCGAUACGGAGCAGACUGGUACGGGAGGCAGCAGUGGGGAAUAUUGCACAAUGGGCGGACGCCUGAUACAGCAACGCUGCGUGCGGGAUGCCGGCUUUCGGGUUGUGAACCGCUUUCGCAUGUGACGAGGCGUGAGUGACGGUAAUGGGUCAAGAAGCACCGGCUAACUACGUG